ensembl:lncRNA
CCCCAACUUCCCAGGAUAUGCAAAGAGAAGAAUUUAACUGUAUUGUGGGUGAAGAUCGUGUUCCGUGUGGGUCUGGUCUUACUGAAGCAGAUGCUGGGUUCUGUGGAUAAACUGCGGGAGGUACAGGGAAUGUACGAGACCAUGGAGCGCCUGAGGAACAUCUCACCGGACAGCAUCAGAGAGGAAAUGCUGGUUCAAGAGGUCACGGUCGUCCCUGUAACCGAGGCUUUGAUCGAGAGGGAGUGCGCCGUCCAGGUGAAGAAGUGGCGCGAGUCUCGCGGUGCCCUGACACACCAGCCGGGCCGCAGGCUUCACGGCACGCGGGACAUCCACGAGCAAAAGCGCCGCGCCGCCGCCAUCAGUUCCGGGGGAAGCCUGUCCUUCCUGGGCAGCUCCAUGUCCUCUCCUCCGCCCGGCCCCUGCGCUCCUCUUCCAGCCUCCUCUCUCUUCCCGGUUUCCGGAAAUCCAAAAAUCCGUUCUCUUACGGUAAAAAAAGCUCCUUUUCUGCGGAAACGCAGGUGUUUGGAGGCGGGACUCCUAUAAUGAUAACCUCGUCUGGGCCACCACGCCCACCUGUUUCUGCCGCGGCCCCGCCCGCAGGAGGUGCAGGAGCGCAGAGGCCUAGUCCUUUAGUGGCGAAACCCCCAACGGCACCAAAAUCUCCAGUGUCAAAUUCUGGGCCAGAAUUAACACCGGACGCCACAUCGGCGCCGAAAUCUGAACCGGAACCGACGUCGGCGCCGAAAUCUGGACCAGAACCCCCAUCGGCGCCGAAAUCUGAACCGGAACCGACGCCAUCGCCGAAGUCUGAACCGACCCCGGCGCCAAAAUCUGAACCGGAACCUGCACCGGAAUCUGCAACAAAACCCACAUCAGAACCAGCAUCAGUGUCGAAAUCCAGUGAGGAACCCGCUCGUCCGUCGAUCCCGAACCAACUCCAGCCCCCCAGAGUAGUCUCGGAACAAGUCACGCCCACGAUCCCGUCUCCCACGGCCAACAACGUGCCUCUGCCUCUCUGCGAGGACGAGGGCAAGAAGAAGAAGAAGAAGAGCAAGGAGGAGAAGAAGAAGGAGAAGGAGGAGGAGAAGCUGAAGGCGCGAGAGAAGAAGGAACGCGAUAAGGCGGAGAAGGAGAAGGCGAGGAAGGAGAAGGAGAGGGCCGAGAAGGAGAAGGAGAAGGCCGAGAAGGAGAAGGCCGAGAAGAAGAAGGAGAAAGGCGGCAAAAAGAAGGACAAGGCCGCAAGCGCCGAGGCGGAGGAGAAGAACGGAGCCGCGGCAGCCAAACACGCGGCCUAGCUUUCUGAACUAAAAAGGCGAAUAGAGCACAAAGGAAGGGAGGAUUUACAUCUUAAAGAGAAUUGGAUCACGUUUUAUGGCUCUGAAUCCUCUCAUUUACAUUCACAUCCAUUAGAAGAGAUAUUAAAACGCGCGCACCUGCACACAGUCAGUCUGUACAUAGAUCAAUAGGUCGUUAUUUAGUAAGACGUCCAACCAUAAAACAUUCAUCCGAUCCCUCUAAAUCGGACAGCGACCCCUAAUAGACGUUGUCCUCGCCGUAGACUUAACAACGAGCCCGUAUUUAUGAACAUGUCUGUUAGCGUGUGCUUGUGUGUGUUUACAUGUCCGUGUAGUGUAGUGUCGCUGUCCGGUGUUCCUGACUUGACCCGUAGGAGGCGCUCUUUUUCAUCCUUCAGGAAGAAAUGGAAAGAGAGGGGAAAAAAAAAAAAAGAACCCAGUGUCUGGUUUGGCCACUAGAGGGACUCGAAGAGCAGACUGAACUGAAACUGGACUGAGGUUUGUUAGAAAUGGUACUGCGGUCAGAAUAGCGUCAUCCUAGCCAACUGAAACUCUUCGGCCGUCUUCUUAAUCUUCAUAUCUUAAGUCAUUAUGCCUGCUCGCUCUGUUUCUAUUUCAGCUCUCUGAUUGUCUGUGUGUGUGUGUGUGUGUGUGUGUGUGUGUGUGUGUGUCCCUCUGCUUUUGAAGACGGGACUAAGGCUGGGCGAUACAACCAAAAGGUUUCAUAAUCAUGAUACGUGAACUGCCCUCAAAAAUCUGCAGAAAAUCUCUCUUGAAUGUCUACAAGAAGCAGGAUCUCUUCACAGCUCCGGUUAUAGACUCCCCGGUUCGAACCCGAGCUCGGGUGAAGAGGUUUUUUUUUGUUUUUUUUUUUAAAUACACGUUUUACAACGUUCUUUCCAUGUACGUUCCUUCCAGGUUUUCUCCGACCUCCUAAAGAACCCCAUACUGAUACACAAACUUGACCUUAGGUGUGAGGUUUUAAAGACCAACUGCAAACUGUUACCAGGAAACAAUUAGCUUCCAGUUCGAUUGAAUUGUUAUUUUUUUCAAAGGGGGGGGGG